rnacentral:rRNA from 1 species
AGAGUUUGAUCCUGGCUCAGGAUGAACGCUGGCGGCGUGCUUAACACAUGCAAGUCGAACGAAGCACUUUAUUUGAUUUCCUUCGGGACUGAUUAUUUUGUGACUGAGUGGCGGACGGGUGAGUAACGCGUGGGUAACCUGCCUUGUACAGGGGGAUAACAGUUGGAAACGGCUGCUAAUACCGCAUAAGCGCACAGCAUCGCAUGAUGCAGUGUGAAAAACUCCGGUGGUAUAAGAUGGACCCGCGUUGGAUUAGCUAGUUGGUGAGGUAACGGCCCACCAAGGCGACGAUCCAUAGCCGACCAGAGAGGGUGACCGGCCACAUUGGGACUGAGACACGGCCCAAACUCCUACGGGAGGCAGCAGUGGGGAAUAUUGCACAAUGGGCGAAAGCCUGACGCAGCGACGCCGCGUGAGCGAAGAAGUAUUUCGGUAUGUAAAGCUCUAUCAGCAGGGAAGAUAAUGACGGUACCUGAGUAAGAAGCCCCGGCUAACUACGUGCCAGCAGCCGCGGUAAUACGUAGGGGGCAAGCGUUAUCCGGAUUUACUGGGUGUAAAGGGAGCGUAGACGGAAGUGCAAGUCUGAUGUGAAAACCCGAGGCUCAACCACGGGACUGCAUUGGAAACUGUGCUUCUAGAGUGCCGGAGAGGUAAGCGGAAUUCCUAGUGUAGCGGUGAAAUGCGUAGAUAUCGGGAGGAACACCAGUGGCGAAGGCGGCCUACUGGGCUUUAACUGACGCUGAGGCACGAAAGUGUGGGUAGCAAACAGGAUUAGAUACCCUGGUAGUCCACACUGUAAACGAUGAUUACUAGGUGUGGGGGGUCUAACCCCCUCCGUGCCGGAGUUAACACAAUAAGUAAUCCACCUGGGGAGUACGACCGCAAGGUUGAAACUCAAAGGAAUUGACGGGGGCCCGCACAAGCAGUGGAUUAUGUGGUUUAAUUCGAAGCAACGCGAAGAACCUUACCAGGGCUUGACAUCCAACUAACGAAGCAGAGAUGCAUUAGGUGCCCUUCGGGGAAAGUUGAGACAGGUGGUGCAUGGUUGUCGUCGGCUCGUGUCGUGAGAUGUUGGGUUAAGUCCCGCAACGAGCGCAACCCUUGUGAUUAGUUGCUACGCAAGAGCACUCUAAUCAGACUGCCGUUGACAAAACGGAGGAAGGUGGGGACGACGUCAAAUCAUCAUGCCCUUUAUGACCUGGGCUACACACGUACUACAAUGGUCGUUAACAGAGGGAAGCAAUACCGCGAGGUGGAGCAAAACCCUAAAAACGGUCUCAGUUCAGAUUGUAGGCUGCAACUCGCCUACAUGAAGUUGGAAUUGCUAGUAAUCGCGGAUCAGCAUGCCGCGGUGAAUACGUUCCCGGGCCUUGUACACACCGCCCGUCA